AAACGACUCUCGGCAACGGAUAUCUCGGCUCUUGCAUCGAUGAAGAACGUAGCGAAAUGCGAUACUUGGUGUGAAUUGCAGAAUCCCGUGAACCAUCGAGUUUUUGAACGCAAGUUGCGCCUGAUACCAUUAGGUUGAGGGCACGUCUGCCUGGGCGUCACACACA
rnacentral:rRNA from 1 species